UACAGACUGGACGGAGACGAUCAUAAAUAAUGCUCGUGUUUGCAGUGCACACUUCAUAUCAGUGAUGGAUGAUGAUGAAGAGCUGGAGAGGGCGAUGUUGAACAUCACCCUCUAAGCUACAAGUGCAGAGCUUUGCUGUGCCAGCAGCAGUAGCAGUUGCUGCCAUACCCAGAGUGUCACCAGGUUUUUGAAUAAGAGGUUUCAGGACUGGAGUAUAAUGACCUGGAAAACUGAACCUUGACUUAAACUGUUAAAUUGUUUAUGUUCCGGUCAUGUUCCUCCAACAAUAUGGUUGUAUUCUGGCAUUAUACUAACAGUCCUAAGGGACUAUGAAUUCCUGCCAUGAUGAACUGAUUUCAACCACAAUGAGGUUCCAUCUGCGGCACUAUCCAAACCAACUGCUGAAUUGCAGGCAUCACCAGUUGACGCUCCAGCCUCUCCAGGUCUGAAGAGGAAAACACCUGUGCCCCUUCCAGCAGAGCUAACAUUAUUAGUGAAGGAGACAACAGCAGAGAGGCCUGAGUCAACUCUAGAACUCCGCACAAGUGCUGCUGGCAUCUCCGCACGCAAAGUGCAUGCGUUUGAGGACAGUGGUGAAAAAGUCAGGUGGCUGUCAUGUGACUAAUUGAUUGCUGGCAAUAUUUAUUUUGUUCACACCCUGAUGAAUGCUCAUUAGACGUAAGUUGUUGUGUGUGGUUAUUUAAACCAUGAUUGAAUAAAGGCUUUUUAUAUAAUUUUCCUUAAAUUUUCAAUUGCCCAAAGAGCACCAAGAUAUGGAUUUUACAGCCCUCACAGCACUUUUUGCAUUAUUUGUUUUAUAAAAAAAAUUCUGUUUCUUUCUAAAUCUAAAUCUACAUUGUUCUACAUCUUUGAGUCUUGCAUUUAGGGAUUGCUAUGCUCCAUUUAAGAUCCCAGACUGCAUCCCUGGUGAACAUCUAAACUGGGAAGACUACCCCUUCCAUUGUUGCUGGGGCCAUCUCUGGACCGCUGGAGAACACCUGUGCCUCUCAGUUACAUUUCAACAACAACAUUGUGGUGAAGCUCGACUUGUUCCAUUGCCUGAGCCGUUUUUAACGGGCGUGCACCUCUAAGCAUCACCCUCUGUUCAGCACUUUCUGCCAGCUCCUCUCCGCAGCCUUCUUCUUGGUGGAUCAGGAGGACCUAAGUAGGCUCCAUGAAGCCUAUCGGUUCUGUGGUAUCAAUUAAUCCAGCCAAUCCCACCAAACAGCACAUACGAGAGCACUGCAGGACCAAAAUACCACAACCCACAGAGCUGCUGGACAGAGUGGAGAAAGUCCUGAAGCAUUUUCACCUGUCCAUGGACCCCAACAAUGUCCCACUCUUCAAGCCAUCUAUGCUGAAGACGUGGCGCAUACAGAGAGUGCACAUUCUCCGCGGUUGCCUCAGUGACCCUGAACUCUGAGAGGGCAUAAGGUACCGGUAUGGUGGAACUCUUCAUCUAAAUCACGUACCUGGUGAAGGCGCCAAAGUCCCCAUUUGGAUCCCUGUCAGAGGUACAUCACAGCAGGAAGGGUACCACUUCCACCAGGCCCAGUAGAUCACAAGGACUCAUGUCUCCACUGAAUUGUUCCAGGCCCAAGGCAUGACAGGGGUGGCACGAUGGAACCACCAACGGCUGCUGGACCUUAAGCAGCCAGGUGUCAUCCUCCAUACUGUGUUUGAUCCAGUUCUAAUGGUUGAGUUAAAUUCUGCCUCCAAGAGAGUGACUGAGCAGGAGAAGUACCCUAUGCUUCAUCUCCCUGAUAGAGACACCGGAGAGAGGUUUGGCCUAGAGUAUGCAGAGCCAGGCUGCCAUCCAGUCCCUCUGGAUUGGGACAAACAUCGAACCCAAAAGAGAGAUGAAGCAGCUGCUGUUGUGCCUCUACCUCCUGUGCAGACACCCGCUACUGCCCAAGCUCAACCUCCAGGCGCAGCACCCUCCUUCAGUCAGACACCACUCUCUAGCACAGCAUUUGCAAAGACAGAAUUCUUCCAGAGAGAGCUGGAGGCCACCAAGAAAGGAGAAGAUGCAGAAAACACACAUCCAUACACACAUCCACAUCCAUCCGGGCUUCCCUGGAGUGGCAGGGAAAUACAUUUACUGCCCAUCUAAAGUGUACUCUCUAUACCGAGAUAAGGGCAUGGCCAAGGAGAUGAACUGGAAUGAGUUUCAGAAGUCUCCUUACUAUGAGGCAGAGAGGCAGAGAUGGGUGGAAGAAAGGAAGAAAUGAUUAACAUGUGUAUAUACUUCAAAAGGAUCUGCUCCUCGCUCAGCAUUCCUGCUGUCACCCAGGCCAGCAUCAGGCAGAUGCCCCCUUUUGGGUCAAGUUUAUUUAGGCUUUUUUUAAAGUAUAAUCGGUCCUUCUUGAUAGGUGUUUACUUAUCGUUUUUUUUUUUUAUUUAGGCAUUGUAUUUAGGCUUUGAAUGUUGGCCUUAAAUGUUCCAUAUUAAUUAACACUCUUUAAUUAUAGUUCUCACAUUUGUGUAAAUCCUGAGACAUGUAAAAACAUCUAAAUAUUUGUAUAGAGGGGCCAGGUUUUAAUUUUAUUAUUCAGUGUGAGAUUGCUAAAGGUAUAUAUUGUCAGAGUUGUCUAUAUCUUCCUCUCUAUAUUGUUAUUUUGUAUUGAUAUUUACUAUUCUUAAAAAGUGAUAAAAGCAUUUAAUAAAAACAAUUAAAAAUCA